rnacentral:rRNA from 1 species
UGCCAGCCGCCGCGGUAAUACGGAAGGUGCAAGCGUUGUUCGGAAUUAUUGGGCGUAAAGCGCGUGUAGGCGGUUCGUUAAGUCUGGUGUGAAAGCCCCGAGCUCAACUCGGGAAUUGCAUUCGAUACUGCUUGGCUAGAGUGUGGUAGAGGAAAGCGGAAUUCCGGGUGUAGCGGUGAAAUGCGUAGAUAUCCGGAGGAACACCAGUGGCGAAGGCGGCUUUCUGGAUCAACACUGACACUGAGGCGCGAAAGCGUGGGGAGCAAACAGGAUUAGAUA